AAUUUUGGACAAUGGGGGAAACCCUGAUCCAGCCAUCCCGCGUGUAUGAUGAAGGCCUUCGGGUUGUAAACCUCUUUCAGUAGGGAAGAAGCCUUUCGGGGUGACGGUACCUGCAGCAGAAGCUCCGGCUAACUACGUGCCAGCAGCCGCGGUAAUACGUAGGGCGCAAGCGUUGUCCGGAAUUAUUGGGCGUAAAGAGCUCGUAGGCGGCUUGUCGCGUCUGCAGUGAAAACGCAAGGCUUAACCUUGCGCCUGCAGUGGGUACGGGCAGGCUAGAUUGCGGUAGGGGAGACUGGAAUUCCUGGUGUAGCGGUGGAAUGCGCAGAUAUCAGGAGGAACACCGGUGGCGAAGGCGGGUCUCUGGGCCGUUACUGACGCUGAGGGGCGAAAGCAUGGGGAGCGAACAG
rnacentral:rRNA from 1 species